ACCUACCCUAAAGACGGGGAUACCCUCGGAAACGGGGGCUAAUACCGGAUAGCUACAGCGUACGGGGGUAUGUUGUAGAAAGCUACGGCGCUUUAGGAGGGGUCUGCGGCCCAUCAGCUAGUUGGUAGGGUAACGGCCUACCAAGGCAAAGACGGGUAGGGGGUGUGAGAGCACGGNCCCCCACAAUGGGACUGGAACACGGCCCAUACUCCUACGGGAGGCAGCAGCAGGGAAUAUUGCGCAAUGGGCGAAAGCCUGACGCAGCGACGCCGCGUGAGUGAAGACGGCUUUCGAGUUGUAAAACUCUUUUCUGGGGGAAGAGGAAGGACGGUACCCGAGGAAUAAGCGUCGGCUAACUACGUGCCAGCAGCCGCGGUAAGACGUAGGACGCGAGCGUUAUCCGGAUUUACUGGGCGUAAAGCGCCUGUAGGCGGCUUUGUAAGUUGGGCGUGAAAGCCCCGUGCUUAACGCGGGGAGGCCGUUCAAUACUGCGGAGCUAGAGUACGGCAGAGGGGAGUGGAAUUCCUGGAGUAGCGGUAAAAUGCGCAGAUAUCAGGAGGAACAUCUGUGGCGAAGGCGAGCUUCUGGCCAGAAACUGACGCUGAGGCGCGAAAGCGUGGGGAGCGAACAGGAUUAGAUACCCUGGUAGUCCACGCUGUAAACGAUGUGCACUAGGUGUUGGCUGUGAUAACGGUCAGUGCCGAAGCAAACGCGAUAAGUGCACCGCCUGGGGAGUAUGCUCGCAAGGGUGAAACUCAAAGGAAUUGACGGGGGCCCGCACAAGCGGUGGAGCAUGUGGUUUAAUUCGAUGAUACGCGAGGAACCUUACCAGGGUUUGACAUAUGGCGGACUGCGGCAGAGAUGUCGCUUCCCUUCGGGGCCGUCAUACAGGUGCUGCAUGGCUGUCGUCAGCUCGUGCUGUGAGGUGUUGGGUUAAGUCCCGCAACGAGCGCAACCCCUGCUGUCUGUUACCAGCACGUAAUGGUGGGGACUCAGGCGGUACUGCCGGUGACAAACCGGAGGAAGGUGGGGACGACGUCAAGUCAUCAUGGCCCUUAUGUCCUGGGCUACACACGUGCUACAAUGGCCGGUACAGAGUGCAGCGAAACCGCGAGGUGGAGCAAAUCACAGAAAGCCGGUCUCAGUACGGAUUGGAGUCUGAAACCCGACUUCAUGAAGCUGGAAUCGCUAGUAAUCGCGCAUCAGCAUGGCGCGGUGAUACGUUCCCGGGCAUUGUACACACCGCCCGUCACACCACCCGAGUUGGGGGUACCCGAAGUCGCUUGUCUAACCGGAAACGGGGGACGGUGCCGAAGGUA
rnacentral:rRNA from 1 species